rnacentral:snRNA from 1 species
GCUGCUCCGAAAACAUUC